CUGGAUGAGUUAUAUAGCAGAUAUUGACUUUGCUUACAAUUAUUAAGUGUAUCUAGUAAGUAAUAAGUAUUCCUUCAUUCUACGUCUGCAUGAGCUUCAAGAAAUCGUUCAAUUAUGAGCCUUUCAUCUGAGGUAAGAUCAGGGUCAUCACCGGUGAGCCUCUUUCGUACUGCUGCACUAGUGAUGUUGUCUGGAUUUUCGUCAAGAACCUCUACAUAGUUGUUGACAUGUCCAUCUUUGUUGGGAGAAGUGAUCGGCUCAAACUCAUUGCAUAUCCAUUCACCGUCAACAAUGUACUUGUAUUCAUAGUGUCCUUCUGGCAACUCCCUCUGGAGAGUCCACAAACCUUGUUCCUUGUCAAAUUUUAAAGGUAUUCUCUGCCACCAGCCAAUAUCAAGUCCAGAUAACUCCACUGUAGUACAAUUAUCACCACGCCAUGUCAACGUGACAGGCGUCUUUUUUAGGCCUGUAAGGAUGUCUGCUGUGGCACUUUUGAUUGCAUCUAGUUUUGGGAAGCAGGGACGUUUGCUCAUGAGUAAACUGAAAGCGUCAGCAAGCUUAUAGCAUUGAACCCAGAACAUAUAUGUCAACGCAACUGCAGGAGCUCUGCCAAGUCCAGCUGUACAGUGUAUGUAAGUCACACCCCCAUUUCUAUUGAUGGCAUUGUUCAGUUUUCUUAUUACAGCUGGAAGCCUCAAUCUCAAAUCAAAUGCAUCAAAAUCCCUUAUUUCGGCACGCAAGUGUUCAAUAUCACCACAUUUGUUGGCAUAUUCACGAAUUGCUUUGAUAUCAACCCCGAAAUAUUCGAGAUCUGGAUUUUGUUGCAAGCAAAAAAUAGUUUUAACUCCAAUACUGCGAAGCUUGUCCACAUCCUCAGGAGUCUGUAGACAUGAACCAACAAUCAAAUCUGGACGGAUGAAGUUGUAGUUCAUCCCUAACUCAUGCCUAUAGGUUAAGACAGCUCCCAUAGCUGCAGUCAUGCCAUGACUGUAUGUAUCAGAUUUUCCCGCAUCCUCGUCCUUUGCUGUACUAGAUUCAGGACCAGAUACUACCUGUGCCACAAUACUUAGACGCUGAUCAGCAAAUUUUGUCAUCCCCAGUGAAACAACAGUAGGAUAAGGCUUUCUUGAAUUGCCUGUGAAGCUUCUCAGUGGUAAACCAGAGGAUCUGGGAAGAUUCUGAAGGCAAUUCAUUUUGAAAAAAAUGAAUGGGUUUGUAGAAUAAUAUGAAUCUGAUCAAGUGUGAUGCAGAAAUGAGAUGAAC
rnacentral:misc_RNA from 1 species